rnacentral:lncRNA from 1 species
UUUUCUUCUUUCUGGCGGACUCUUGUUUUAUGAAUAUGUGCAAAAGGAACUUUGACUUUUUUUCUUCCAUGGAAAUCUGUUGUGUGAUGCUCCCUGUUUUCUGCAUCAAAUUCCAAAUACCAUUUUGUUGUUUUUCUAAGGGUAAACUGUAUUUCUAGGUUUGAAAGAGUUAAGUUUGAGAUUCGGAUCUGAAUAAACGGGUAACAAUGUAGAAAGAGAUAGAUGUGGAUCCAUAUUUAAAAAGGUGAUUGGGUUUGUGUUGGGUGUAAGGAGGUCAGAGGCAUUCGAGCGCCAGAGAAAGUGGUGGCGCCUCCUCCGACCGCCAUCCUUCUCCAGCCAUUUUGAUCGAAGACAUUAGAGAGAGAUCUGAGGUUUUAUUUUGUUUGAAAAUAUUGGAGAGAGAGAAAGGAAAUCGGAGAAGAGAGAAAGGGUGAGUUCAUUUUUGUUCAGAGAGAAUCGGUUGUCUAGGAGGGGGGAUUAUCAUAUGUUUUAAUGUUCAAAAUAAAGGUUUUAAUUAGAGUUAUGUAGUUGUGAUAUUAUAUUUUAAAGUCAGUAAAUAAUAAUUUAUUUUUCUUUAAAGUAAUAAUUAAGGGUGCAGACAAUUUUUGGUCUUCCCCAUGAUGUGUAGAUUUCCCAUUCAUUACAUUAAUAUUGCUAUCACUUUUGGUAUGCGACUUGGGCUGAUUUGGAGAGAUCGUGGGCCUCCGGCUUAACUAGGUUAAAAAACAUUUACCUUCUAUCUCUACAGUUAGUCCCGUACCCCUACAUUUAAUUUUUUUUAACCAAAAUACCCUCACAUAAAUAGGGUAUAUUUUCCAUUUCAAUUUUUUUUUACCAUUUUCGUUGAAGAGAUCCGGAGAAGAAAAAUAUUUAGCUUUUUUGCAUUGUAAACCGGAACACUCAGAGUAAGUCUUUCGGUUCAUUAAAUGUAUACCGGAACACUUCUCUAAAGAGUUCCAGUUUGUUCCAUUUUAGGGGCACUGAACCGGAAGUCUUUUAGAAAGUCUUUUGGUUUGGAAUGUUGUAUACCGGAACACUUUCUUAAAGACUUCCGGUUUGGAUGAUGUAUACCGGAACUCUUUAAGAAAGUGUUCCGGAAGGCAUUUUUUUUUACUAACCGGAACUCUUCUUUGAAGUGUUCCGGUACGUUUUUUUUUUUUUUUAAAUUUAAUUAUUUUUUAAAACAUUUUUUUUGCAGUGGUUCGAAGACGAGGUGCAGAUGGUAGGAUUCCAGUCCGCACGUUAGACCGGGGUGCAUCUUCAUCGGCAGCGGAGCCGGCUGGAUAUCCAGGAGGGUCGUACGAUACGUCUCUUUUGGUGAAGUACGAGCAUCAUGUUGCUCGACAUUUAUGGUUCGGUGAGGUAAGUAAACGGGCUAUAUUUGAAAAUGAAUAAUAGUUUUGAAAUAUAACAUAUUUAAUUUUUCUAUAUGUGUUUUAACUUUUUAGGAAAAAAGAGGUCAAAAGAAAGAGUUGAAUGGUUUGCUGGACAUGGACUGAAGUUGACUUCUAGGGUUCCAUUGGCUCUCCACCACAGAUGGAGAUUGGGUAAUCUUAGAUCCGGUUUAUUCUUCACUGCAGAGAACCAGUUUGAAACCAAGAAUAGACACACAAUUUGUCUCUGCAUUUGUGGAAAGAUGCAAUCUAGAGACAUCUUCAUUUCACAUGUCGUUUGGCUGAAUGAGCAUUACUUUAGAAUGAUGUGCAUGUAUACGUCACUUGCCAUCAGGGGUGUCUUCUAGAGUCCUCAGGAUGUGACUGAAGAGGUAGCUGUUGAACUUGUUGUUGACUACCUAUGAGUGUCACGGGGUUCAGGCACAGUCAACAUACCUACUCUUUAACAUGCCCUUUUCCAUAACCAUCUAUGACACUAAAUCGUCUCCACAACUCAUCCAUUGCAACCGAAAGUCAUAUCACACCUCUGAUCCAUCAUCUUCACCUACACUCUAACUCAAACUUCCAUAGUUAGUUUCCCUCCACUGAACACUGAACAAGAAUCAUGGGUAUCGUAAUAAAGGCCACUGUCUGUAAUCUUCCUAACUCACAGCACAAGGUAACCAUAAGAUGUUCUAAAGAGUACAACCACAUAUCUUCGCCUGUUUAGUUUCCAACAUAAUCAACUUCUCAAUAACUUUUUUCAGCAUACGUCUUCAAAGCAGGCUCGAGAUACGGAACGCACGCAACAUAACCAUAAAGGAACUACGUGCGCGUGCUCAACUUCGUAAAAACUCUUUUGAAAAGAAGCGUCUAAUGUUCCCAGUUGUAACCAUCAAGUUUGUUAUUCAUUGCUUCCCAACAUUUGACCAUGUCCACCUAAUACUGUUUUCCUACAGUCUGCUUUAACUUCCCAAUGAGCAGGAUUCAACCUAAAAAAUUGAAAUAACACAUAAAAAAUACAUAGAAAUAAUAUCAGAUAUAAAAUAACACAUACAAAAUUAUAAGACGUACCGAUUAGUCGUUGUGUUACCCAAAUCGUAGCACUCGAUAAUCCCAUGCUCAACAAAUCUAUGCCUAUGUGGGAGUUCAACCAUGUAGUCUUUCCAUAAUUAUAAAUCCACUUAAUGCAACACCAUGCUUGCUCAGUUGAGCAACCGCUGACCAUACUCACCUCAUCACUGCCGCAGACAACUUCAUCUCAUGAAGUGUCUAUGCGUCUUUUGCAGGUCAUUCACCACCAUGUUGUUUGCAUUUGGCACCAAGCGUUUUUUGUUAAUGUGAAUCUACAUAAGCAAAUUAAUCGAGCUGGGAAACACAACUUCAAUUGCUUUCAAUCAAAGCAAGAUCUCUAUCUGUCAAAAUCACUUUGAUGGACACAAUGUCUUUUCUUCACAAAACAACUCUUUAAUCCUCCAAUACCCAGCAAAAAUUCUCUGUUUGCUCCAGACUCCAUAUACGCAAAUCCAACAGCAAAGUAACGAUCGUCCGAUUGUCAUGCCAUACAAUUUCAAACAAAGGUUUGUCUAUAUUUGUUUGUCUUGGUAGGUGGCUAUCUCAUAACUAACACAAUCAGAAAAUAUAUUCAACAACUUAAACUUGAUCAGGAUGUGCCCAAAUAUCACUCUCACCACUUCGAGUCAUCCUUUUUUUCUACUCCAAUACACAUAUCCUGCUCUCAAUAAGCUUAAACAGAUCGUUGUAUCUCAUCCUAGGACCUCUUAUCUCUUUUUUGUAUCAUCACAUCUUAUGCUUGUAUACUUGCGUACUCCGAGUGACAUUCUCAGGAUAAUGUCUUUGGCAAGGAAAGCAAUACGUGGUCUAGGGCUCACAUUCUCUUUGCCAAAUCAGCGACAUUUGCUGUCUCAUCUAUGGUUCAACCUACCAAUAAACGAAUGACCUUACUAAUAAUACAGGUAAAACGCAUGAUUAUGUAACCCAAUAUUUUAGCCAUCAAUCUUCCAACCAGAUCCAUCUUUCGCCGAAGUUGACCUGAUUUUAAAUGGACAUCCAACAUUUCUUUUUUCCGACUGCACUUGGUACGCACUAUUGUAAAAGGCAAAUUGUCAUACAACAUACGAUCAAUAGGUUCGAUGAUGACAAUAUGACGCACCAUUGGAUGAAUCGGCUUGUGAUUCCACCUCUACAAAACAAAUGCAACAUAUCACCUAAUCAUAUCCUUUUCUAUGCUCAUGCAAAUACUGAUAUUUCAUACAACAUAUGUGGAAUAAAAUAUGGUCACUGACAAAAAUGCCUGAAAGCCACCAAAAAUAUAAAUUUUGCAGAUUUGCAGGGUUUGAGUCGACCGCUGAGGGUUCAACGCAUGAACACGGGUCAGCGCAUAAACAUAGUGCAGUUGGUCACGGUCAGCGCAGGAGGCUUGAGUCGACCACACGUGGGCAUAACAUAGUGCAGUGUCACGGGUCCAGCGCAAUGGAGACUUGAGUCGACCAGGUCGACGCAUGAAGCUUUCCACUUUCCACGGGUCAGCGCAACGCCGACCUAUGGUCGAUUGCAUACCUGAUGCAUUCUUUAAGUCUGUCCAAAACUGCAGGCCCAUGCAUAUCGACGCAAUAGACCUGCUAUGGUCUCGACCGGCUCUGUGCAACAAAUUCAGUUUUUUGAGUACUUCCACUUCUUUGAAAAGCUGUUAAGUUUGGUUGGUAGGUUUGGUUACUAUAUAUAGAAGUUUUAGUUACUUGUAUCACUAAACAUUUGUCAAAUUGAUUUCAAGUGUUCAAUUAGAAACAAGAAAAGUGAAAUAGGUGUCCAGAUUUCAUUGCAUCUUUCAAUCUUCAACAUUUCACAACACACUCAACUACACACAACGCAUUUUUUGAAGUGCUUUGUGAUUGGUUAAAGGUGAUAAGGUCGAAGCCGAGAUGUGGGGAAUCCGGUUCGGGUUGAAGCUUUGUGACAGGUUUUUUUCUUGAAUAAAACCGUUAGGGUUUUGUCUCCAAGACUGGUUUGGUGGUUUUGGGGUUUUUUGGACGCAAUUUCUUCAUCAUUUCAGCUGAGGCGAAGGUGAUGGAAAGGAAAGUCUUUUGGUCAAUCUAGUAGCGGAUCAGGUGAAAUGAAGUGGAAGACUCCGGGUUCGAUUUGUUGUAGUUGGAGAAUCAGGCCGGGCCGAGGGGUUGAAGAACUGAGGGUUAUUGCAACAAAGGGCUGGAAUGCGGGUCUAUCAACACAUCGAAGGACUUGAUUCACCUUGAAAUCAAGGAAGCAAGAAGUGGCUAGCAACAUUCAAGUGUCUUGAAGGAUUCUGUUGUUAAUAUUUUGCUUUGCAAUCCUUGUAAUAAAUGGUUAUAUAUUCAACAGAGUGAUCAAUGCUAUUAAAUCAUUCUCAAUCUAGUUUUAGAAAUUGAGGGCAGACGUAACCCCGAAGCCGAGGAUGACGGGGGAACUGCCCCUCAUCAAUCUUGCCUUCUCUAAAUUUUUCCUGGCAUAAUUGUUUGUUUUUAGCUUAAAAUUAAGUGAUUUUAGUAUAAAGCACUUUUAUGCAACUUGAUAUUAAUUGAGUAAGAGGUAAAACUCUGUUUUUGAAUCCAAAAGUACAAUAGGAUAUGUGCUGAGAUUAAUUGAAUCAUUACUUCAACAUAAAUAUCAGCUUGGAGUGUUUUUUACACACCAAUAGUGUUUUGAUAAUUUUCCUAACCAAAAUUAUCUAGUUGUGGCAUCUUAGUUUUGGUUUGCUCUGAAUCAUUGGAACUAGGAAUCUCUAGCUAGUGAACAAUCUUUGAUUGUGUGACGAGUGUAGUGAUUCGAAUCUUUACUUACAACAAAUCCAUAGGCUUGAACGCAUAUGCCGGUUUUUCAAUAACAGUUCGUUUAGACUAUAUUUUUUCCUAUCGCCGCUUCCGCACUUAAAACAAAUUUUCAAAACCAUUUUUAAAAUUGGUAGCGCUCGACUCAAAUUUAAUUGGGAUCUGUUCAACCCCCCGCCCCCCCCUUCUAGAUCCGUGGCCAUAGUCCUAACAAGUGGUAUCAGCGCUCCGGGUCACUCCGUGCUUCAAAAUAUAACUUUUGAUAGAAAAUGGCUAACGAACCUAAGGGGCUUAAUAAUAGAGCUCGCCCGUUUUCAUGGUAAAAUUAUAGUUAGGAAAGACUGGUAUGCGGGUGCAACAUAAAUUCAUAGAUAGAAAAAAUAUGGAACGUUAUUCUCAAUGGUCUAAUUGAAAUAACGCAUGAUCCAAUGAGAAUAAUGAUUAGUGCCUAAGCCCUAAGCACAAUGCCGGAUGAUGAUGAAUAAGAAAAUACAUUAUGAAUUGGAAAGCCAAAAAUAUCCUAAUCUCUCAUUAGGUUAGAUGAAAACUAUCGUGUUCCCAUUGUUCCUAGCUGUAGAGCCAUGUGGGAUUCAACUACAAAUUCGCCCAUAGAGGGACGAACAAUGUUAAGUUUGCAAGAAUCAACACACUAACACAAGAGUUUUGAUCUCUUUUAUGGAGCCAGGGAAACCAUUGCUGACAUGCAAAAAGAGAUUUUCUAUCUUAUCAAUCGAUUACAUUCACAGGUUAGGCCGGUUUCCAAUGAUGUUCUACUAAUAAAAUCUGAGAUGUCUUAACAGGGAAUGGCAGCCAAAGUGACCGCCAAUCAAAGAAGCGAGAUCUUACCAUAUUAGACCUUGGACAACAUUAUUUGGCAACUACAGAAGAGCACGACCAAGUACUCUGAGCUAGAACAACAUGAAAAGAAAGAAAAAGACAAAGCAAAGGUGAGUGAAAAAGAAAUCCAUAGCUCUUAAGCCUCUCCUCGAAGUCUCAAGUAAAAGAGCAAAGUGAUGAUUCUCGAGCGACGAAGAAGAAGAGGACAAGAGCGAAGAUAUGGGGUUGUUCCGUUAAACGUUACAAUCGGUACGUGAAAAAAGAACGACAAUCCAACAUUUCCGAGAAGAACUUGUAAACUUCCGGCAAAUCAUCAGGUACUCUAAAAAUGAUGACAUCUUCUCACAAAAAAGGUAGAAAUGACAGAGGUGCGUGCUAACAGCUUGUGGGAAUGCCGUCAUUACAAACGCGGACUGUCCGAUGAACAAAAGACGAAGAAAGAAUCAUCCAAAAUCACAGAAGAGAUCAUACAAAAGCCAAGGAGAGCAUCAUAGCUUGGGAAGCGAUAGUGCUCCUGCGAUGAUGAAGUUUCUAGUGAUGAAUGAUAGAAGCCCGCAAACCUAUGCUAUCUGCUCAUCAAAGAACAAAAGAAACAGGGUACGACAUGCUAAUAUGAAAAAUCCUCUAGUAUGUCUCAUCAUGAAUUCAAGAUGCUUUGUACUUUAACACGUGAAGCUAAAGAGGCCUUUUCAUAUUUUAGCAUGUCGUACUGUCUGUUUUGUUUCUUUUGAUGAGGCAGAUAGGCAUAGGUUUGGGCUUCAUCUUCAUUCACGUAGAAUUUUUCACAAUCAUCAGGAGGGAGCACUUAUC